AUAGCAAGAGACAAAGAAUCGAGGAUACACGUGAUGCUGCGUCUGCCAAACAGUUGAUUGAAGCUGUGCUGAGAGGCAAAUCCGGAGGUGAAGAAGUACUACAGGAGUACCAAACAACAGAAACCCUGACAGAUGCUGCAAGAAGACAAAUGGUUAACAUCCUGGUGGCUCACAUGAUUGACAAUCAUGGGCACCUUCCCACUAAAGAAACCAGAGAGGAUUAUGCACAUGGGAUAGUGAUGCUGUUCCCUUCCCUCAGGGAUCCAUAUUCCAAGAAGGGCUAUGAACACUUCUAUGAUUCUGCAAGCAGCACAGGAUACAUUUCUUGGCGUCUGAAAACAGUCCAGAGGAAGAUUCGUCAAGGAUCUGCAGUGCCACCAAAUAGCGCUAUUUGCUUUUCUCCAGGAGGCCCAAAUUUCCAAAGAACUGUUCAUGUUGAAAGGCAGCUUGAUGGUGAUGCUUGCCAAGAGGCCAUGUCUUUGCUCAACCAUACCACAGACAAUUCCCUAAUUUUCCAGAAGAUGAGAGAGACCUUUCUGCACCGUCAGAAGCUCGUUAAUGACCCAGGCAGAAGUGUUGAUAUCCUCUCCAGCUUCCCAAGAUUCCUGGAUACAAAAGGAUUGGUAAGUUU